GAUGAAUGCUGGCGGCGUGCCUAACACAUACAAGUCGAGCGGUAACAGGAGUAGUUUACUACUUGCUGACGAGCGGCGGACGGCUGAGUAACGCGUGGGAACGUGCCCCAAAGUGAGGGAUAAGCUCCAGAAAUGGAGUCUAAUACCGCAUAUGAUCUUCGGAUUAAAGGAUUUAUCCGCUUUGGGAGCGGCCCGCGUUAGAUUAGGUAGUUGGUAGGGUAAUGGCCUACCAAGCCGACGAUCUAUAGCUGGUCUGAGAGGAUGAUCAGCCAGACUGGGACUGAGACACGGCCCAGACUCCUACGGGAGGCAGCAGUGAGGAAUCUUCCACAAUGGGCGAAAGCCUGAUGGAGCAACGCCGCGUGAAGGAUGAAGGCCCUCGGGUUGUAAACUUCUUUUAUAAGUGAAGAAUAUGACGGUAGCUUAUGAAUAAGCACCGGCUAACUACGUGCCAGCAGCCGCCGUAA
rnacentral:rRNA from 1 species